AAUGAACGUUGGCGGCGUGGAUUAGGCAUGCGAGUCGAGCGAGAACCGUAGCAAUACGGGGACAGCGGCGAAAGGGACAGUAACGGGUAGAUUAUCUGCCCUCAGGUUUGGGAUAGCUGCGGGAAACUGCAAGUAAUACCAAAUAAUAUCUCCGGAUCAAAGGUGUGAUUCCGCCUGAGGAUGAGUCUGCCUCCUAUUAGCUUGUUGGUGGGGUAACGGCCUACCAAGGCAUUGAUGGGUAGCGGGUGUGAGAGCACGACCCGCGUCAUUGGGACUGAGACACUGCCCAGACACCUACGGGUGGCUGCAGUCGAGAAUCUUCGGCAAUGCGCGCAAGCGUGACCGAGCGACGCCGUGUGUGGGAUGAAGG
rnacentral:rRNA from 1 species